CCUACGGGAGGCAGCAGUGGGGGAUAUUGCACAAUGGGGGGAACCCUGAUGCAGCGACGCCGCGUGGGUGAAGGAGUGUUUCGUUGCGUAAAGCUCUAUCGGCAGGGAAGAAGAUGACGGUACCUGACUAAGAAGCCCCGGCUAACUACGUGCCAGCAGCCGCGGUAAUACGUAGGGGGCAAGCGUUAUCCGGAUUUACUGGGUGUAAAGGGGGCGUAGACGGCAAUGCAAGUCAGGAGUGAAAGGCCGGGGCUCAACCCCCGGACUGCUCUUGAAACUGGAUGGCUGGAGUGCAGGAGGGGCAAGUGGAAUUCCUAGUGUAGCGGUGAAAUGCGUAGAUAUUAGGAGGAACACCAGUGGCGAAGGCGGCCUACUGGACUGUAACUGACGUUGAGGCCCGAAGGCGUGGGGAGCAAACAGGAUUAGAUACCCUAGUAGUC
rnacentral:rRNA from 1 species